rnacentral:rRNA from 1 species
AGCAUUCCGCCUGGGGAGUACGACCGCAAGGUUGAAACUCAAAGGAAUUGACGGGGGCCCGCACAAGCGGUGGAGCAUGUGGUUUAAUUCGAAGCAACGCGAAGAACCUUACCAGGUCUUGACAUCUUUUGAUCACCUGAGAGAUCAGGUUUCCCCUUCGGGGGCAAAAUGACAGGUGGUGCAUGGUUGUCGUCAGCUCGUGUCGUGAGAUGUUGGGUUAAGUCCCGCAACGAGCGCAACCCUUAUGACUAGUUGCCAGCAUUUAGUUGGGCACUCUAGUAAGACUGCCGGUGACAAACCGGAGGAAGGUGGGGAUGACGUCAAAUCAUCAUGCCCCUUAUGACCUGGGCUACACACGUGCUACAAUGGAUGGUACAACGAGUUGCGAGACCGCGAGGUCAAGCUAAUCUCUUAAAGCCAUUCUCAGUUCGGACUGUAGGCUGCAACUCGCCUACACGAAGUCGGAAUCGCUAGUAAUCGCGGAUCAGCACGCCGCGGUGAAUACGUUCCCGGGCCUUGUACACACCGCCCGUCACACCAUGAGAGUUUGUAACACCCGAAGCCGGUGGCGUAACCCUUUUAGGGAGCGAGCCGUCUAAGGUGGGACAAAUGAUUAGGGUGAAGUCGUAACAAGGUAGCCGUAGGAGAACCUGCGGCUG